UCCCUGGUGAUCUACUGGCUAGGAUAGAGCACUUUCAUUGCUAUGGCCUGGGUUCAGUUCCCACUCAGGUAA
rnacentral:tRNA from 1 species